rnacentral:lncRNA from 1 species
CUUGAGCCCUUCAUGGGCUAGCACACCAACACCAUCCCCCCAGAUGCUUCAGUUGUUGGCUUCGAAUGGCUUACUAUUUCCAUUUCUACGGAGAACUGCCAUCUCAGGAAUCACCUCACCCUGGAGUUUAUUCCCCUCACCCACAGGGUGGCUGGCAGCCAACAGCUGACUCGUACAGAGAGUGGCACAAUGAAGAUUUGAACCCACGUAUGUCUCACUGGACGUAUGCCCAGGAACUGGUAAGCUAUAAAAAGACCUCCUUUAUUGUCUGGAGACAUAGAAUUAGUCCAAACGGUGUCACCUCCAGGAAGCCUUACUGUCACUUCCAUGGAGGACAGUGGCCUGGGCCCACACCACCCUCCUGCCUGUCUUCAGCCUUUGCUAGUGGAUCCUUUUCCCACUUCGAAGACUCCCCUUACAUCCUCCUCCAUGUUGUCCUCCAAAUGUGCUGGCUGAGAGCCCAGCGCCUGAAUCAGAGGGACCUGGGUUUGAAUCCCACCUCUGCCAUUGAACACCAGCUGUCUGACCUUGACUGCGUUCCUUUGCUUCUCUGGGCUUCAGAUUCCCCAUCUGAAUAAUAAUAGAAGCUACCUUGGGAUUGCCUCAAGGAUCAAAUGCGAGAGAGUUCACCUUAAACAAUGAGUGGAGGGCCUGGUGUGUAAUAAAGCACUCAAUAAAUGUUAACUAUUAUUGAUCUUCAAAAAAAAAAAAAAAAAAAAAAAAAAAAAAAAAAAAAAAAAAAAAAAAAAAAAA